GUGCUCGAUUUGACAGCACAUAUACUAAAAUUGGAACGAUACAGAGAAGAUUACAGUGGCCCUUGAGCAAGGAUGAUAUGGAAAUUUGUGAAGCAUUCUGUAUUUUU